AUGUCAUGCAAUCAUGCUUGUUCAUUUGUUGCCUCACGCAUGUUAAACAAUUGCUCUUUCCAUUGUGUUAGUCUGUUAGAGUGUAACACUCCUUACACCACCACCUUCACAACAUAUCAAUGGCUUGUCAUGCACUUGAGAUUGCCUAAUGAACCUCAUAUUCUCAUGCAGUUGAUGACACAUGUGUUUAGGCACCUCAUUAGCAACUUUGUUGUUCUUCACUUUGAUUACACCUUCCUAUAUCACAAACCUUCUGAUGAUUUCACGCACAUGCGUAGUUUUGAUGGGAUAACCACUACCUCACAUUUGCAUCCUCCUUAUCAUAAAGUUAUGUUGCUUCUGGACCAUGAGCCCAAUGCCUUUGGUUGUCCUCACAUAACAUACUUUCAUGCCAUGAAACAUUUCCUUGUCACAUCUUAUGCUAAGCAUGAUGACGACACUUGUUGCGUGAAUCACACAUGA
rnacentral:rRNA from 1 species